UACGGAGGGUGCGAGCGUUGUCCGGAAUCACUGGGCGUAAAGGGCGCGUAGGCGGCGCGGGGAGUCAACGGUGAAAGCUCGGCGCUCAACGCCGAGUCGGCCGUCGAUACUCCCGUGCUCGAGCACUGUAGAGGCAGGUGGAAUUCCGGGUGUAGCGGUGGAAUGCGUAGAGAUCCGGAAGAACACCGGUGGCGAAGGCGGUUGGCUGGGCCACAACUGACACUGAUGCGCGACAGCGUGGGGAGCAAACAGG
rnacentral:rRNA from 1 species